rfam:Oryza rufipogon genomic scaffold, chr08
AAUAAGCGCAGGCAUGAGUUUUCAUAUCCAACUUUAAUAGUUCGUCUUAUUUGAAUUUUUUAUUAUUAGUAUUUUUAUUGUUAUUAGAUUAUAAAACAUGAAUAAUAAUUUAUGUGUGACUUAAUUUUUUUUAUUUUUUUUAAAAAAAUUAAAUAAGACGAAUGAUUAAAGUUGGACACGGAAACUCAUGGUUGCGCUUAUU